GUUUUUUCGCUGAUGGAGUGCGGAGGCGAAACAGCGGUGUCUGCGGGCUCACUGUCAUUCACAAGUGGCUCCAGUCUGGUUUGGGGGUCUACCCUUUCUUAUCAUGUCCUGCCACCCAAUAAAGCCAUUCACAAGUGGCUCCAGCCUGGUUUGGGGGUCUAGCCUUUCUCAUCCAGUCCUGCCACCCAAUAAA